GUGAAUCAUCAAAUUUUUGAACGCAAAUUGCACCCUCUGGUAUUCCGGGGAGUAUGCCUGUUCGAGGGUCGUUAGAAGAAAAAACGACGCCUCGCUCUUUUUCUUGUGGGUGACCGCGUCGGAAUUGAGCCGUCUCUCAAAUGCUAAUUCAUGUCAAAGUGGCUUAAAAUUCAUCCAUCCGGUACGAUUACAGCG
rnacentral:misc_RNA from 1 species